rnacentral:rRNA from 1 species
AUUGAACGCUGGCGGCAUGCCUUACACAUGCAAGUCGAACGGCAGCACGGGAGCAAUCCUGGUGGCGAGUGGCGAACGGGUGAGUAAUAUAUCGGAACGUGCCCAGUCGUGGGGAUAACGUAGCGAAAGCUACGCUAAUACCGCAUACGAUCUAUGGAUGAAAGCGGGGGAUCGCAAGACCUCGCGCGAUUGGAGCGGCCGAUAUCAGAUUAGGUAGUUGGUGAGGUAAAGGCUCACCAAGCCGACGAUCUGUAGCUGGUCUGAGAGGACGACCAGCCACACUGGGACUGAGACACGGCCCAGACUCCUACGGGAGGCAGCAGUGGGAAUUUUGGACAAUGGGCGCAAGCCUGAUCCAGCAGUGCCGCGUGCAGGAUGAAGGCCUU